rnacentral:lncRNA from 1 species
GCUGCUGCUGCUCCACACUCAGGAUGUCAGGGCCACUUUUCUCCCGUCAUUAAGGCUCAUUGUCACCGUGUCCACUGACUGAUGCUAAGUGAGGAGCAGGGAAAGUCUAUCUCCUCAUCCCUAAGUUGUGACAUGCUGUCCCGAUCCCCCACUCAUGCCACUGUCCUGAGACCAGCGCACGGCUCUAUUCUUCUCCGGACUCCAAGUGUGAGACACCUACCACAGCUCCUCCGCAGACAACCUGAAUCUGAGGCCUUGGGGGAAUCCUUCAUCAAUAAACACCCAAACACUUCACAAGAAUAUCUGUCAAUAGAGAUAAUCUGA